UACGUAGGUGGCGAGCGUUAUCCGGAAUUAUUGGGCGUAAAGAGCGCGCAGGUGGUUGAUUAAGUCUGAUGUGAAAGCCCACGGCUUAACCGUGGAGGGUCAUUGGAAACUGGCCGACUUGAGUGCAGAAGAGGGAAGUGGAAUUCCAUGUGUAGCGGUGAAAUGCGUAGAGAUAUGGAGGAACACCAGUGGUGAAGGCGGCUUCCUGGUCUGUAACUGACACUGAGGCGCGAAAGCGUGGGGAGGCAAACAAGGAUUAGAUA
rnacentral:rRNA from 1 species